AUUGAACGCUGGCGGCAGGCCUAACACAUGCAAGUCGAGCGAGCGACGGACGGGUGAGUAAUGUCUGGUAAACUGCCUGAUGGAGGGCGAUAACUACUGGAAACGGUAGCUAAUACCGCAUACCAUCAGAUUUGCCCAGACGGGAUUAGCUAGUGGGUGGGGUAACGGCUCACCUAGGCGACGAUCCCUAGCCGGUCUGAGAGGAUGACCGGCCACACUGGGACUGAGACACGGUCCAGACUCCUACGGGAGGCAGCAGUGGGGAAUAUUGGGCAAUGGACGAAAGCCUGAUCGAGCCAUGCCGCGUGUGUGAAGAAGGCCUUCGGGUUGUAAAGCUCUUUCGGCAGAGAGGCGGUACCCAAAGAAGAAGCACCGGCUAACUCCGUGCCAGCAGCCGCGGUAAUUC
rnacentral:rRNA from 1 species